AGUCGUAACAAGGGUCUCCGUUGGUGAACCCAGCGGAGGGAUCAUUACAGAGUUUAACGACUCCCAAACCACUGUUAACGUACCCGUACCGUUGCCUCGGCGGGCGGCCCCUGGGAGGGGCCGCAGCCUCCUCGCGGAGGCGCCCGCCGCAGGUCAGCACAACCAUUUGAAUAUUUAGUGGCACAUCUGAGUAAACUUCCAAACAAUCAAAACUUUCAACAACGGAUCUCUUGGUUCUGGCAUCGAUGAAGAACGCAGCGAAAUGCGAUAAGUAAUGUGAAUUGCAGAAUUCAGUGAAUCAUCGAAUCUUUGAACGCACAUUGCGCCCGCCGGCCAUCCCGGCGGGCAUGCCUGUCCGAGCGUCAUUUCAACCCCCAAGCCCCGCUUGGUGUUGGGGCACUACGGGCAACCGUAGGCCCUUAAAAUUAGUGGCGGACUCGCUGAAGGUCCGGGCGUAGUAGUAACAUCUCGCCCGCGGUCCCCAGCGCGCCCCGGCCGUUAAACCCCCAAACUUACAGAAGGUUGACCUCGGAUCAGGUAGGAAUACCCGCUGAACUUAAGCAUAUCAAUAAGCGGAGGA
rnacentral:misc_RNA from 1 species